rnacentral:rRNA from 1 species
UGGGGAAUAUUGGACAAUGGACUGAGAGUCUGAUCCAGCAAUUCUGUGUGCACGAUGAAGUUUUUCGGAAUGUAAAGUGCUUUCAGUUGGGAAGAAAAAAAUGACGGUACCAACAGAAGAAGUGACGGCUAAAUACGUGCCAGCAGCCGCGGUAAUACGUAUGUCACAAGCGUUAUCCGGAUUUAUUGGGCGUAAAGCGCGUCUAGGUGGUUAUGUAAGUCUGAUGUGAAAAUGCAGGGCUCAACUCUGUAUUGCGUUGGAAACUGUGUAACUAGAGUACUGGAGAGGUAAGCGGAACUACAAGUGUAGAGGUGAAAUUCGUAGAUAUUUGUAGGAAUGCCGAUGGGGAAGCCAGCUUACUGGACAGAUACUGACGCUAAAGCGCGAAAGCGUGGGUAGCAAACAGGAUUAGAUACCCUGGUAGUCCACGCUGUAAACGAUGAUUACUAGGUGUUGGGGGUCGAACCUCAGCGCCCAAGCAAACGCGAUAAGUAAUCCGCCUGGGGAGUACGUACGCAAGUAUG